rnacentral:rRNA from 1 species
GCGGUGGAGCACGUGGUUUAAUUCGAUGACAAACCGAAGAACCUUUACCUGGGUUUGACAUGUACGUGGUACGGAUCUGAAAGGUGAAGGACCCGGUCUUCGGACUGGGAGCGUACACAGGUGCUGCAUGGUUGUCGUCAGCUCGUGCCGUGAGGUGUCGGGUUAAGUCCCAUAACGAGCGCAACCCCUAUCAUUAGUUGCCAUCAGGUCAAGCUGGGGACUCUAAUGAAACUGCCUACGCAAGUAGUGAGGAAGGUGGGGAUGACGUCAAAUCAGCACGGCCCUUACGUCCAGGGCUACACACGUACUACAAUGGCCGAUACAAAGGGCAGCGACACUGCGAGGUGAAGCCAAUCCCGUAAAAUCGGUCUCAGUCCGGAUUGGAGUCUGCAACUCGACUCCAUGAAGUUGGAAUCGCUAGUAAUCGCGCAUCAGCCAUGGCGCGGUGAAUACGUUCCCGGGCCUU